CCUCCCAUGGCUCCUCACCCAGGGGGCGACGCAGUCGCCGUGGAACACGUGAUCGCAGGGCGUGACGAGCACGCUCUCCCUCGCUGCGAAGGCCUCCAAGCAUAUCAGUAGCAGAUGCUUCAACACAAAAAGUAUCAGAUCAGAUGCUCUGGAGGGACACUUGAAGGCAGACUAAUGGCGAAGCGAAAAAAGAAAGGAUUCUGCUUUCGAUGGUGGUCUUUCUUUUCGCCGAGAGGGUGGUGGUCUUUCUUUUCGCCGAGAGGGAUCGGAUUCGGCUUAGUGCAGCCCACCUAAUACACCGGAUUUAGAUUGUUCUUAUGCGAGAUCGUGCUAUCGACAAAAAAGGUAUAUUAAACUAGUCAAAUCUAUUGCAUGAAUGAUAAUCAGGUUCAGUAUUUCUGUUCCGAUUA